GGAAACUCACCAGGUCCAGACACAAUAAGGAUUGACAGAUUGAGAGCUCUUUCUUGAUUUUGUGGGUGGUGGUGCAUGGCCGUUCUUAGUUGGUGGAGUGAUUUGUCUGCUUAAUUGCGAUAACGAACGAGACCUUAACCUACUAAAUAGUGCUGCUAGCUUUUGCUGGUAUAGUCACUUCUUAGAGGGACUAUCGAUUUCAAGUCGAUGGAAGUUUGAGGCAAUAACAGGUCUGUGAUGCCCUUAGACGUUCUGGGCCGAACGCGCGCUACACUGACGGAGCCAGCGAGUAUUAACCUUGGCCGAGAGGUCUGGGAAAUCUUGUGAAACUCCGUCGUGCUGGGGAUAGAGCAUUGUAAUUAUUGCUCUUCAACGAGGAAUUCCUAGUAAGCGCAAGUCAUCAGCUUGCGUUGAUUACGUCCCUGCCCUUUGUACACACCGCCCGUCGCUACUACCGAUUGAAUGGCUUAGUGAGGCCUCCGGAUUGGUUUAAAGAAGGGGGCAACUCCAUCUUGGAACCGAAAAGCUGGUCAAACUUGGUCAUUUAGAGGAAGUAA
rnacentral:rRNA from 1 species